UCGGAUAUGGUGUAACGGCUAACAUUGCCGCCUCUCAUCUAAAAGUGCAUGGGAAUGUGCGCGGCAGCUCGGGGUUCGAUUCCCCGUAUCCGAA